UCGCGAGGAUAAAACGAACAGAAAUCACGUCUUCUGAUGCAGUUAUUAAUCGCAGACGGGCGUCGCGACUCUGUGCUCUGGAAAAAUAACGGAAGAAAGAAAGAAAGAAAGAAAGAAGAGCGGAGUUCUUCUUGGCCAUAUUUUAUCGGGCGCAAUCUGUUUGGUGUUAACUGGCUUGGUAGCAGUCUUUCGACACCGCUAAGAAGGACCCUGUCGAAGGAGAAAACUAGAACUCGAAGCCCAGCGGAGCUUUUGUAAUACAAAAUAGGAGAACGAAACGAAACGAAACGUAACGGUACGGAACGGAAUGGAACGGAAGACAGAACCGGAUAUUCUUCAUCGCGAUUCGCCCCGCCGGUUGAAUGAAGAGGGAAAAGAAUGUCGAAGAAAAAUAAGAAAACGAAGAAGAUGAAGAAGAAGGAACGGCUUCUAAUCUUCCGUCGUUAUUAUACGU
rnacentral:misc_RNA from 1 species